rnacentral:lncRNA from 1 species
GGAGGCGGGGGAGGGUCUGGUCCGGCCAAGCGACCCCCUCUCCCCGCCCCGGCCCAACCCGUGGAGGGACGGCCACGAGCCGGAAAGGGCCAUCUGGUUCCUGCUGGCCGCCCCGGGACACCCCAGGGCUCCUCCUUUCCCUCCCCGGCUCCUCGCAGAGCCGGUCCUCUACACUUUAUUUUCUGUGGGUUUUUUCCCCCCUAUUUUUCAGGUUGGAGGCAUAGGCCGCACCUCGGACCUUGACCUGUGGCCUGGGAGGAGGUGAGAUCUACUGGCCAGGCUCUGACCACCUGACCACCUUCCUGGGCGCCUGAGUCUGGGUUUCCUCGCCAGGACUCUCCCUUUGUAAGUUGUGGGCUCCUCGGGGGUGCUUUGGGAGCGAAGGGGUCUAAGGUAUGCGGUGGUACCCGCGAGGGCCCCCAGCUUGGCUGGUGGCUCUGGGCAGCACAGCCCCAGGCUCUUGCUACAGGGCGGGACCUUCCAGUGGGGGGCUGGAGAGUGAGGCCCUCCGGAGCCCAGCUCUGGGCACUUCACUGGCUUCUAGGGGCUUUGUCCAGUCAGGGCAGCUUGAAAGCCACAGUCUCCCAUCAGUUGGGAAUGCUUUCUGGUGCACACGACGGGAAUUCCUUGUCCCAGGCUUGAACAGGUGUGGGUUGAGUCUUCUCACACAAAGAAGCCCACAGGUGGGUAAUGGGUGUGGAUUUGGAGACCCCCACCCUGUAAGGGCUGGUGCUGCGUGGAUAUCCGGUAGCAGAAUGGCUGCUGCAGCUCCGGCCAUCACUGCAGGGCGGCCAGAAAGAAGCCGCUGCUGUUUCUCUCGUGAGAGCAAAAACUCUGCAGCUCCUGCUACGCCCAGCGGCCAAGGUAUUAAGCUUGAAUUAGCCCCCGGCUGUCAUUUAGGGCAGCACCUUGCUGCCUGGAACCGGCUAAGGAUUGUGCCCCCAGGUGGAAGAAGGUGGACGUUAGGUAGACAGCUAACAGAGGCGGCCCAGUAGCCCCUUUCCCAGACCCACCUGGGAAAGCGGAACCCACACUCAGUGCACGCUUGGCCUCCCUUGGGCCUGAGAACGGCCACUGACCCGAGUGGCUGUCACCAAGCAGGUGGCUCCCGCCUGAGAGGCAGGCCUUGAGGCUCCGAGAUGGGCUCCCUCCCUUCCUCCCGCUGGCCUGGGACCCGGGAGGCACGUCAGGAGUUUAAGAACUGCUGGGUUUCAGCAGUGUCUGGGUGGGCCUCUUGCCGUUCAGGGGCCCGCUGUGCCUUUAAGCCCCUCCCCAAGUGUCCGUGGGAGGGGGUCCCGGGAAGAGAGGCGCCUGGACUCCCCCCCCCCCCCCACAGGCCCCAGCUUCUCCCCCAGGCGGUGUCGGGGGAGGGGCUGCAAGUCGAGCGGGCCAGAGGACACAGGACAGGGCCGCCGGCCUGCCCCGGCCAGCCAGCCAGCCUGUACCAGCCGCCGCCCCGUCCCUGUCCUUCCCCGCCUCCGGGGAAGCUCUGGGGCCUGAUCUGUCGGGAACGGGGAGGGGGGCAGCAGUUAUCCGCCCAAGGACCCGCCGCGUCCUGUCUCCAGGGCCCAGCAGCUGUCCCGGAGGCCCCCGCGAGGGCCUGGCCUGGGUGGAGGCAGCCUCUCACAUUCCUGAGGGUAGGGUUUGGCGGAUUUGCAGCCUCCCUGGGUUGGAUUCCCGCUUUGCCGGCUCCCAUGUGACCCUGGCAAGUGGCUUGACCACUUGGCGUCGGUUCACCUGCUGAGCCAGGUGAGAAGGUUCCGGUGCCCGCCCCCCCUCAGCCCGCCCCUCCCCCCUCAGCCUGCGCCCCGCCCCCUCAGCGCCCCCACCCCCUCCCGCCCCCUCAGCCCCCCUCCCCAUCCCCUCAGCCCCUCCCCUGCCCCUCUGGCCGUAGCCCGGGCAGCAUGCAGACCCAGCAGAGUGGCGUCCAGUACAGCAGGUGGGAUGACAGCAGCCGGGACGAAGUCCACGUGGCUGCCGUGUCCAGCACGGAGGAGGCCUCAAGCUGGGCGAGG